rnacentral:rRNA from 1 species
GAUGAACGCUGGCGGCGUGCCUAAUACAUGCAAGUCGAGCGAACAGAUAAGGAGCUUGCUCCUUUGACGUUAGCGGCGGACGGGUGAGUAACACGUGGAUAACCUACCUAUAAGACUGGGAUAACUUCGGGAAACCGGAGCUAAUACCGGAUAACAUAUUGAACCGCAUGGUUCAAUAGUGAAAGGCGGCUUUGCUGUCACUUAUAGAUGGAUCCGCGCCGUAUUAGCUAGUUGGUAAGGUAACGGCUUACCAAGGCCACGAUACGUAGCCGACCUGAGAGGGUGAUCGGCCACACUGGAACUGAUACACGGUCCAGACUCCUACGGGAGGCAGCAGUAGGGAAUCUUCCGCAAUGGGCGAAAGCCUGACGGAGCAACGCCGCGUGAGUGAUGAAGGUCUUCGGAUCGUAAAACUCUGUUAUCAGGGAAGAACAAAUGUGUAAGUAACUGUGCACAUCUUGACGGUACCUGAUCAGAAAGCCACGGCUAACUACGUG